GACGAACGCUGGCGGCGUGCCUAAUACAUGCAAGUAGAACGCUGAAGGAGGAGCUUGCUCUUCUGGAUGAGUUGCGAACGAGUGAGUAACGCGUAGGUAACCUGCCUGGUAGUGGGGGAUAACUAUUGGAAACGAUAGCUAAUACCGCAUAAUAACAGUUGUUGCAUGAUAACUGUUUGAAAGGUGCAAUUGCAUCACUACCAGAUGGACCUGCGUUGUAUUAGCUAGUUGGUGGGGUAACGGCUCACCAAGGCGACGAUACAUAGCCGACCUGAGAGGGUGAUCGGCCACACUGGGACUGAGACACGGCCCAGACUCCUACGGGAGGCAGCAGUAGGGAAUCUUCGGCAAUAGACGAAAGUCUGACCGAGCAACGCCGCGUGAGUGAAGAAGGUUUUCGGAUCGUAAAGCUCUGUUGUAAGAGAAGAACGAGUGUGAGAGUGGAAAGUUCACACUGUGACGGUAUCUUACCAGAAAGGGACGGCUAACUACGUG
rnacentral:rRNA from 1 species